rnacentral:rRNA from 1 species
UAAGGAAUAUUGGUCAAUGGACGAAAGUCUGAACCAGCCAUGCCGCGUGCAGGAUUAAGGCCCUAUGGGUCGUAAACUGCUUUUAUACGGGACAAAACCCCCCUACGUGUAGGGGGCUGAUGGUACUGUAAGAAUAAGGAUCGGCUAACUUCGUGCCAGCAGCCGCGGUAAUACGAAGGAUUCGAGCGUUAUCCGGAUUUAUUGGGUUUAAAGGGUGCGUAGGCGGACUGAUAAGUCAGUGGUGAAAGCCUGUUGCUUAACAACAGAACUGCCAUUGAUACUGCCAGUCUUGAGUACAGUUGAGGUAGGCGGAAUGUGUCAUGUAGUGGUGAAAUACUUAGAUAUGACACAGAACACCGAUUGCGAAGGCAGCUUGCUAAACUGUAACUGACGCUGAGGCACGAAAGCAUGGGGAGCAAACAGGAUUAGAUACCCUGGUAGUCCAUGCCCUAACUAUGAUUACUCGAUGUGUGCGAUACACAGUACGCGUCUAAGCGAAAGCAUUAAGUAAUCCACCUGGGAAGUACGACCGCAAGGUUGAAACUCAAAGGAAUUGACGGGGGCCCGCACAAGCGGAGGAGCAUGUGGUUUAAUUCGACGCAACGCGAAGAACCUUACCGGGGUUUGAACUGUAC